CAAAACCCCUCUUAUUUUUCAUUCUCCAGUCCAAGAAAAUAAAACCGUAGCCGCCUAAAAAUCCCCUCCACUGUCUCCGCCUCCGGAAAUCGCCUUACGACGGCAGAACUCCUCCAAACCACCACAAAAGGUAAUCAUGCCACCAUCGUUCCCUCCCCUUUCCAAAUCCCUAAACACUUUCACCCAAAUCCCUCCCGAAUCCCACCAAUUUCAGAUCUGGUGGCAUGCAAACCCUAAAUUUGAGAUUCCAAGACGAUUUAAGUCGGAAAUGGGUGUUACUCAUUUGUUCUCAACAAGAAUAGUCGAUUAACACCUAUUUUGAUUUAAAUCGAAGAAGUCCGGAGCCAACUGUCGUUCGUGUAGUAGGUACAUCUAUUCUUCUUUCCUCUUUCUAUUUCCACAUCCUUCUUUUCGUCUUUAGCUUCUUCUCUUUUCAUCACUCUGCUUUCUUCUAUUUUUCUUUUUCUUUGACCAAAAUGAAGAGCUUUAGUUAGACAUAAUCUUGGGUUGUUAAUGUUUCAUUUUUUUCUUAUUUCUUGUUUUUGCAUGCUUAAUCAGUAGUUUUAGGGUUCACUAAUCUAUGUGUGUUGCAUCAGAAUCAUCAUGUUUGUUUAGGGUCUAUUAAUUUGGUUUAGCUUGUGUCUAAUUAGUCUAAUUUUAAAAUCAGUAUACUUAUUAUUGUAGUCCAGUUUCUUUUUGUUGUUAUGAUUCCCUGGUCUAAUACGUUGGUAUAUUCAAUUGGUUUAAUUCUUAGAAAAUGCUUCAUCAUUGAUUAGUUCUGGACUCAUGUUAGUAUUAGGUUUGAAAUUUUUUUGUUUUGUUUCAUUUCUGAUUCAGUUCAUAUCAAAUGAAUUCAGGGUUAAUUUAAAGGUUUGAUUGCUCAAUAAUCUAUUUCUUUGAUCAUUUCUUUCGUAUUAAUUCUUGUCUUGUGGUGUUGGUUCUGAUUUGCCACAAAUUGGAAUUAUAGGGCUAAUUGAACAUAUGAAAACUUAAGGGGGGUCAGGGAAAGUGUAUGCAAACAUAAAUUUGGAUAGAAGCUUCUAGAAUUUGGGGCAGCUGGUUCUAUUUGGCCAGCAUAAGAAUGCUGAAACCAAUUUGAGGCUGCCAGCUGUCCCAUUUCUGUUAGAAAGAUGCCUUUAGGGGCUAUGUGAGGGAAUAAUUCCCUAAUUCUGUUUUCAGCAUAUGGCACUUUCAGUGGCCUAUAAAUAUAACCAUUCCCUCACUCCUUAGGGACGGAAAAACAAUCCCAAAAAUCUUCUGAGAGGUCUAGCUUCCUUUUUCCUGAUUGCUUUCCUUUCUACUAUAAAAAGUUUGGAAAAGGUUUUCUCUGAUUUUCUGGGAGUUGAGCAUGGUUUGAUAAUGAAGUUGUGUUGAGUAUUACUGUUGCACUUCACUGCUAUACCUAGAAGUUGAUUUCAGUUUUUGGGUUUGCAUUGUUUCUGCUUGGUUUUCGCUAUUAUUUAUGCAUUUAAGUAUGUAAACCCUGCCUAUCUUGUUCUAUGCUAAUUUCAUGCAAUGAAAAGAUGAUGUUCCCUGUAUUAUACUUGUGUUUGGUUACUAACAUUAGCAUGUUUUAUUGACGGAAAACGAUUUUAUUUCCUGGCCUUAUCUACAAAGUAGUUUCAGUAUUGUGUUUUGUCCUUUUUUGAAAAUGUUAUUUCAAGCCUCUCCAAAAUUUCUUCAAGUUUCAUUGUUGGUUUAUAAAAUGGUUUUCAUUUCUGGUUGUGUAAUUCUUGAGCUGAAGUUUUUGUAGUAAUUCAAAUAGUAGUAGAGAGUUUGAUUCAAGCUUGCCAACAUGCCAUGUGACUUAAUUGUGAUGUCUUGAAUGACUGUUGGCUAUUGAUGCUUGUCAAUUCGAGAUUCAGUUCUUUGAAAUAACAAUUGAAAGAAGUUAUUAGUAGGUAAUUUCCUAUGUUUUGAAAGUCAUGAAAGUCCAUAAUAGUCCUGACUAUUUGUUUCUUGUAUUUUCAACUGUGACAAGCUGGAUGCAGAUUUACAAGCUAGCUCUGUAGCUAUCUUUGCAAAUACAAGUGUUGUUUCUUUUGAAUUACCAAGUCACAUAGGCUGGAGUCAUAUGCCUUAGCAGAAGAUGGGAAUGUUUUGAGAAGCUUUAAAUGAUAGUUAGUUCGACACUAGGACUACUGGGUUAUUAUUAGGGAUUUUUUAUAAAUUUAUUUAUAAUUAUCCCAUUUGUAAAACUUAAUUUAAUUAAUUUUUGUUUUUAAUUAGUCAGUAUUUCAUUUUCAUGAUUAUGUAAUUUGCAUCAAGUAAUUUCAUUAAUGUCAGUUGGCUUUAGUAGUACUUGGGCCAAAUGUGGGCCUAAAUGGGUGGCUUGGUCAGGAAUCACCCCCGGUGGGUUCUAGACACUCUUCUCAUGUGCUGAGUUCCACUUUAGGGUCCAAAUAAUGCCAGCAUUUAUUUUGUUUUUCAUAAUGUGAUCAAUUGGUUUAUUGAACUUUCUACCUAAUUUUUGUUACCAAAG
rnacentral:lncRNA from 1 species